rnacentral:rRNA from 1 species
CCUUCGGGUUGUAAAGCUCUUUCGGCCGGGACGAAAUCGCACGGGCGAAUAUCCCGUGUGGAUGACGGUACCGGAGUAAGAAGCACCGGCUAACUACGUGC